rnacentral:rRNA from 1 species
UACGUAGGUCCCGAGCGUUGUCCGGGUUUAUUGGGCGUAAAGCGAGCGCAGGUGGUUUAUUAAGUCUGGUGUAAAAGGCAGUGGCUCAACCAUUGUAUGCAUUGGAAACUGGUAGACUUGAGUGCAGGAGAGGAGAGUGGAAUUCCAUGUAUAGCGGUGAAAUGCGUAGAUAUAUGGAGGAACACCGGUGGCGAAAGCGGCUCUCUGGCCUGUAACUGACACUGAGGCUCGAAAGCGUGGGGAGCAAACAGG